CAGUGCCCACUUUGUUCAUCUCUGCUCACUGGGGGAGCCAGGACACGGAUCCAGGUUUUCUGACUCCAGGUCUCAGGCUUGCUCCAUAGCGCCACCUGCUGGUGACGGCAAUCGGUAGGCACCCAAAUCAAGACUCAGAUUUCCUCAUCUCAGAAGUUGUCCACUUCUUCUCCGACCUCCACGGUAACUCGGAACCACACCGUGGAGUUAUCCCUGUGUCCUCUUUCUCGGAAGUUCCACAUCCAACCCCUCAGCAGGUCUCAGCGGCACUCUCACCACCUCCUCUGCUCUGUUCCUGUUUCUCUUGGAUGGUCGAAUGUUUCCUAAGGAGUGUCUGCUGCUUCACGCUUGCCCCCUGGAGUGGCAUCUAAAAGGAUACCCUACAACUAACAGGCAUGAUGCCAUCAAGACAUCUUGAGCCUGGCUACCUCCCGUGGCCUGUAUUUUGUCCACAGGAAACUCGCGCAGUCUCACUACAGCAAAUUGAGGUGGUAUGGGGUGCCUGCUGCUGCCUCUCUCUUCACCUUUCCACAGAGGGCUGCCCCAGCCUGACUCCCACUUCCAGAGUUUCUCCAGCCAGGAGAAUCCUGAAAUCUCUGUAAAUAAGCAAUCCAGGAGCCAGAGAAUCAUGGGAUCUCAUAUAAACAAAUCAUCAAGGAAAAACACAGCCAGAGUCUCCAUUUGGUAAACCUCCGUGACUGGGGAUCCCCGGCCACCCAGAAAGCAGUAUUGCCUGCCAUGCAUGUCAUCACUGAUUUUUACUGCUGCAGCAGACUCCGUCAGACCUGCCUGCUGCUUCAGCGA
rnacentral:lncRNA from 10 species